rnacentral:rRNA from 1 species
AGAGUACGUGAAACCGUUCAGGGGUAAACCUGAGAAACCCGAAAGGUCGAAAGGGGAAAUUCAUUCGCGUUUCGGCCGUUGGCGUUGGAUGGUCGAGUGACGGAUGGCGUACGCGUCGUCCGCGCCUUCCUUCUUUCGAACCGACGUCGAACGCGUGCACUUUUCCCCUAGUAGGACGUCGCGAUCCGUUGGGUGUCGGUCUAAGACCCGUGGUGGAGCCCGCGAGGACGUUUCGGCGUUCUCCGGACCCACGGUGUUCCGGCCGACCCGCUCGACGGUAUACAGAUGGCGCGGGGCCGCUACUCAGUUAGCGUUCGGCCUGCGGCAAGCGCGUUCGGCGUUUGACUUUGAUCGGACCUGGUUGCCGGUCUUGUCCACGAACGACUGUUGGCCGUGGUGUUCUCGAACAGACCUCGUUUGAAACGCCGAUCUGCGACGCUAUAGCUUUGGGUACUUUCAGGACCCGUCUUGAAACACGGACCAAGGAGUCUAGCAUGUGCGCGAGUCAUUGGGACAUAACUAAACCUAAAGGCGCAAUGAAAGUGAAGGUCCGCCUUGCGCGGACCGAGGGAGGAUGGGCGGUUUGCCCUUAAAAGCGGCCGCUCCGCACUCCCGGGGCGUCUCGUUCUCAUUGCGAGAAGA